rnacentral:rRNA from 1 species
AACGUAGGUUCCGAGCGUUAUCCGGAUUUACUGGGCGUAAAGCGCGUUCAGGCGGUUUGUCAAGUCGGGCAUGAAAUCUCUCGGCUCAACCGGGAGAGGUUGUCCGAUACUGCUGGACUUGAGGGCAGUAGAGGGUGGUGGAAUUCCGGGUGUAGUGGUGAAAUGCGUAGAUAUCCGGAGGAACACCAGUGGCGAAAGCGGCAACCUGGACUGUACCUGACGCUGACACGCGAAAGCUAGGGGAGCGAACGGA